GAUGAACGCUGGCGGCGUGCCUAAUACAUGCAAGUCGAGCGAACAGACGAGGAGCUUGCUCCUUUGACGUUAGCGGCGGACGGGUGAGUAACACGUAGGUAACCUACCUAUAAGACUGGGAUAACUUCGGGAAACCGGAGCUAAUACCGGAUAAUAUUUCGAACCGCAUGGUUCGAUAGUGAAAGAUGGCUUUGCUAUCACUUAUAGAUGGACCUGCGCCGUAUUAGCUAGUUGGUAAGGUAACGACUUACCAAGGCAACGAUACGUAGCCGACCUGAGAGGGUGAUCGGCCACACUGGAACUGAGACACGGUCCAGACUCCUACGGGAGGCAGCAGUAGGGAAUCUUCCGCAAUGGGCGAAAGCCUGACGGAGCAACGCCGCGUGAGUGAUGAAGGUCUUCGGAUCGUAAAACUCUGUUAUUAGGGAAGAACAAACGUGUAAGUAACUGUGCACGUCUUGACGGUACCUAAUCAGAAAGCCACGGCUAACUACGUG
rnacentral:rRNA from 1 species